UCCCCGGUCGGUUAACCGGUAAACCAGCGGACUGUUAAUCCGUGACUGUAGGUUCGAGUCCUGCCCGGGGAGCCG
rnacentral:tRNA from 1 species